AAAUUGAAGAGUUUGAUCAUGGCUCAGAUUGAACGCUGGCGGCAGGCCUAACACAUGCAAGUCGAACGGUAACAGGAAGCAGCUUGCUGCUUUGCUGACGAGUGGCGGACGGGUGAGUAAUGUCUGGGAAACUGCCUGAUGGAGGGGGAUAACUACUGGAAACGGUGGCUAAUACCGCAUAACGUCGCAAGACCAAAGAGGGGGACCUUCGGGCCUCUUGCCAUCAGAUGUGCCCAGAUGGGAUUAGCUAGUUGGUGAGGUAACGGCUCACCAAGGCGACGAUCCCUAGCUGGUCUGAGAGGAUGGCCAGCCACACUGGAACUGAGACACGGUCCAGACUCCUACGGGAGGCAGCAGUGGGGAAUAUUGCACAAUGGGCGCAAGCCUGAUGCAGCCAUGCCGCGUGUAUGAAGAAGGCCUUCGGGUUGUAAAGUACUUUCAGCGGGGAGGAAGGUGUUGUGGUUAAUAACCGCAGCAAUUGACGUUACCCGCAGAAGAAGCACCGGCUAACUCCGUGCCAGCAGCCGCGGUAAUACGGAGGGUGCAAGCGUUAAUCGGAA
rnacentral:rRNA from 1 species